UCAGACCUGGUGUAAUGGCAACACAGCCUUGUCUUCUAAGUACUUGGUGUAGGAGUGUGGGAGGCAGUUCAGGGUUCGAAUCCCUGCGUCUGAA